UACAGAGGUCCCAAGCGUUGUUCGGAUUCAUUGGGCGUAAAGGGUGCGUAGGUGGCGCCGUAAGUCGGGUGUGAAAUUUCGGAGCUUAACUCCGAAACUGCAUUCGAUACUGCGGUGCUUGAGGACUGGAGAGGAGACUGGAAUUCAUGGUGUAGCAGUGAAAUGCGUAGAGAUCAUGAGGAAGACCAGUGGCGAAGGCGGAUCUCUGGACAGCUCCUGACGCUGAGGCGCGAAGGCUAGGGGAGCAAACGGG
rnacentral:rRNA from 1 species